rnacentral:ncRNA from 1 species
UUGUGGUGUCCUUCACGGACUCAAUAGGGAAUCGGGUGAGAAUCCCGGACAGUUCCCGCUGCUGUGAUGGCCAAUCGCCUGCCACUCUGCCACUGUCUGACGCUCGUCGGAUGGGAAGGCGGCAGAAGCGAGGCCUCAGUCAGAAGACCUGCCUCAAGUC